CCUACGGGAGGCAGCAGUGGGGAAUAUUGGACAAUGGGGGGAACCCUGAUCCAGCCAUGCCGCGUGUGUGAAGAAGGCCCUCGGGUUGUAAAGCACUUUCAGUGAGGAAGAACGCCUGGUGGUGAAUACCCAUCAGGAAAGACAUCACUCACAGAAGAAGCACCGGCUAACUCCGUGCCAGCAGCCGCGGUAAUACGGAGGGUGCGAGCGUUAAUCGGAAUUACUGGGCGUAAAGCGCGCGUAGGUGGCUUGAUAAGCCGGUUGUGAAAGCCCCGGGCUCAACCUGGGAACGGCAUCCGGAACUGUCAAGCUAGAGUGCAGGAGAGGAAGGUGGAAUUCCCGGUGUAGCGGUGAAAUGCGUAGAGAUCGGGAGGAAUACCAGUGGCGAAGGCGGCCUUCUGGACUGACACUGACGCUGAGGUGCGAAAGCGUGGGUAGCAAACAGGAUUAGAUACCCUUGUAGUC
rnacentral:rRNA from 1 species